GUGGGGAAUAUUGGACAAUGGGCGAAAGCCUGAUCCAGCCAUGCCGCGUGUGUGAAGAAGGUCUUCGGAUUGUAAAGCACUUUAAGUUGGGAGGAAGGGUUGUAACCUAAUACGUUGCAAUUUUGACGUUACCGACAGAAUAAGCACCGGCUAACUUCGUGCCAGCAGCCGCGGUAAUACGAAGGGUGCAAGCGUUAAUCGGAAUUACUGGGCGUAAAGCGCGCGUAGGUGGUUUUGUAAGUUGGAGGUGAAAUCCCCGGGCUCAACCUGGGAACUGCCUCCAAAACUGCAUGACUAGAGUACGGUAGAGGGUAGUGGAAUUUCCUGUGUAGCGGUGAAAUGCGUAGAUAUAGGAAGGAACACCAGUGGCGAAGGCGACUACCUGGACUGAUACUGACACUGAGGUGCGAAAGCGUGGGGAGCAAACAGGAUUAGAUACCCCGGUAGUCC
rnacentral:rRNA from 1 species